UACGAAGGGGGCUAGCGUUGUUCGGAAUUACUGGGCGUAAAGGGCGCGUAGGCGGCCGUUUAAGUUAGGUGUGAAAGUCCUGGGCUCAACCUGGGGACUGCACUUAAUACUGGAUGGCUUGAAUUCGGGAGAGGAUAGCGGAAUUCCCAGUGUAGAGGUGAAAUUCGUAGAUAUCGGGAGGAAUACCGGUGGCGAAGGCGACUUUCUGGACGAAUACUGACGCUGAGGCGCG
rnacentral:rRNA from 1 species